UGGGGAAUAUUGCACAAUGGGGGAAACCCUGAUGCAGCGACGCCGCGUGAGCGAAGAAGGUUUUCGAAUCGUAAAGCUCUGUCUUAUGGGAAGAUAAUGACGGUACCAUAGGAGGAAGCCCCGGCUAACUACGUGCCAGCAGCCGCGGUAAUACGUAGGGGGCAAGCGUUGUCCGGAAUCACUGGGCGUAAAGGGUUCGCAGGCGGAAAUGCAAGUCAGUUGUGAAAGGCAGAGGCUCAACCUCUGUAAGCAAUUGAAACUGUGUUUCUUGAGAUGUGGAGAGGCAAGUGGAAUUCCUAGUGUAGCGGUGAAAUUCGUAGAGAUUAGGAAGAAUACCGGUGGCGAAGGCGGCUUGCUUGACACAAACUGACGCUGAGGAACGAAAGCGUGGGUAGCAAACAGG
rnacentral:rRNA from 1 species